UUAAGCGACUAAGCGUACACGGUGGAUGCCCUGGCAGUCAGAGGCGAUGAAGGACGUGCUAAUCUGCGAUAAGCGUCGGUAAGGUGAUAUGAACCGUUAUAACCGGCGAUUUCCGAAUGGGGAAACCCAGUGUGUUUCGACACACUAUCAUUAACUGAAUCCAUAGGUUAAUGAGGCGAACCGGGGGAACUGAAACAUCUAAGUACCCCGAGGAAAAGAAAUCAACCGAGAUUCCCCCAGUAGCGGCGAGCGAACGGGGAGCAGCCCAGAGCCUGAAUCAGUGUGUGUGUUAGUGGAAGCGUCUGGAAAGGCGCGCGAUACAGGGUGACAGCCCCGUACACAAAAAUGCACAUAUUGUGAGCUCGAUGAGUAGGGCGGGACACGUGGUAUCCUGUCUGAAUAUGGGGGGCCCAUCCUCCAAGGCUAAAUACUCCUGACUGACCGAUAGUGAACCAGUACCGUGAGGGAAAGGCGAAAAGAACCCCGGCGAGGGGAGUGAAAAAGAACCUGAAACCGUGUACGUACAAGCAGUGGGAGCACGCUUAGGCGUGUGACUGCGUACCUUUUGUAUAAUGGGUCAGCGACUUAUAUUCUGUAGCAAGGUUAACCGAAUAGGGGAGCCGAAGGGAAACCGAGUCUUAACUGGGCGUUAAGUUGCAGGGUAUAGACCCGAAACCCGGUGAUCUAGCCAUGGGCAGGUUGAAGGUUGGGUAACACUAACUGGAGGACCGAACCGACUAAUGUUGAAAAAUUAGCGGAUGACUUGUGGCUGGGGGUGAAAGGCCAAUCAAACCGGGAGAUAGCUGGUUCUCCCCGAAAGCUAUUUAGGUAGCGCCUCGUGAAUUCAUCUCCGGGGGUAGAGCACUGUUUCGGCAAGGGGGUCAUCCCGACUUACCAACCCGAUGCAAACUGCGAAUACCGGAGAAUGUUAUCACGGGAGACACACGGCGGGUGCUAACGUCCGUCGUGAAGAGGGAAACAACCCAGACCGCCAGCUAAGGUCCCAAAGUCAUGGUUAAGUGGGAAACGAUGUGGGAAGGCCCAGACAGCCAGGAUGUUGGCUUAGAAGCAGCCAUCAUUUAAAGAAAGCGUAAUAGCUCACUGGUCGAGUCGGCCUGCGCGGAAGAUGUAACGGGGCUAAACCAUGCACCGAAGCUGCGGCAGCGACGCUUAUGCGUUGUUGGGUAGGGGAGCGUUCUGUAAGCCUGCGAAGGUGUGCUGUGAGGCAUGCUGGAGGUAUCAGAAGUGCGAAUGCUGACAUAAGUAACGAUAAAGCGGGUGAAAAGCCCGCUCGCCGGAAGACCAAGGGUUCCUGUCCAACGUUAAUCGGGGCAGGGUGAGUCGACCCCUAAGGCGAGGCCGAAAGGCGUAGUCGAUGGGAAACAGGUUAAUAUUCCUGUACUUGGUGUUACUGCGAAGGGGGGACGGAGAAGGCUAUGUUGGCCGGGCGACGGUUGUCCCGGUUUAAGCGUGUAGGCUGGUUUUCCAGGCAAAUCCGGAAAAUCAAGGCUGAGGCGUGAUGACGAGGCACUACGGUGCUGAAGCAACAAAUGCCCUGCUUCCAGGAAAAGCCUCUAAGCAUCAGGUAACAUCAAAUCGUACCCCAAACCGACACAGGUGGUCAGGUAGAGAAUACCAAGGCGCUUGAGAGAACUCGGGUGAAGGAACUAGGCAAAAUGGUGCCGUAACUUCGGGAGAAGGCACGCUGAUAUGUAGGUGAAGUCCCUCGCGGAUGGAGCUGAAAUCAGUCGAAGAUACCAGCUGGCUGCAACUGUUUAUUAAAAACACAGCACUGUGCAAACACGAAAGUGGACGUAUACGGUGUGACGCCUGCCCGGUGCCGGAAGGUUAAUUGAUGGGGUCAGCGCAAGCGAAGCUCUUGAUCGAAGCCCCGGUAAACGGCGGCCGUAACUAUAACGGUCCUAAGGUAGCGAAAUUCCUUGUCGGGUAAGUUCCGACCUGCACGAAUGGCGUAAUGAUGGCCAGGCUGUCUCCACCCGAGACUCAGUGAAAUUGAACUCGCUGUGAAGAUGCAGUGUACCCGCGGCAAGACGGAAAGACCCCGUGAACCUUUACUAUAGCUUGACACUGAACAUUGAGCCUUGAUGUGUAGGAUAGGUGGGAGGCUUUGAAGUGUGGACGCCAGUCUGCAUGGAGUCGACCUUGAAAUACCACCCUUUAAUGUUUGAUGUUCUAACGUGGACCCGUGAUCCGGGUUGCGGACAGUGUCUGGUGGGUAGUUUGACUGGGGCGGUCUCCUCCUAAAGAGUAACGGAGGAGCACGAAGGUUGGCUAAUCCUGGUCGGACAUCAGGAGGUUAGUGCAAUGGCAUAAGCCAGCUUGACUGCGAGCGUGACGGCGCGAGCAGGUGCGAAAGCAGGUCAUAGUGAUCCGGUGGUUCUGAAUGGAAGGGCCAUCGCUCAACGGAUAAAAGGUACUCCGGGGAUAACAGGCUGAUACCGCCCAAGAGUUCAUAUCGACGGCGGUGUUUGGCACCUCGAUGUCGGCUCAUCACAUCCUGGGGCUGAAGUAGGUCCCAAGGGUAUGGCUGUUCGCCAUUUAAAGUGGUACGCGAGCUGGGUUUAGAACGUCGUGAGACAGUUCGGUCCCUAUCUGCCGUGGGCGAUGGAGAACUGAGGGGGGCUGCUCCUAGUACGAGAGGACCGGAGUGGACGCAUCACUGGUGUUCGGGUUGUCAUGCCAAUGGCACUGCCCGGUAGCUAAAUGCGGAAGAGAUAAGUGCUGAAAGCAUCUAAGCACGAAACUUGCCCCGAGAUGAGUUCUCCCUGACCCUUUAAGGGUCCUGAAGGAACGUUGAAGACGACGACGUUGAUAGGCCGGGUGUGUAAGCGCAGCGAUGCGUUGAGCUAACCGGUACUAAUGAACCGUGAGGCUUAACCUU
rnacentral:rRNA from 1 species